rnacentral:lncRNA from 1 species
CUCUGCGGUAGUUCUCUUGAGAGAAUUACAUUGGUUGAUGAUCUAGGUGUUAAACUAGACCCCAAGUUAAAGUUUUCUGAACACAUUUCUACCAUGGUAAAUAAAGCCAUGGGUGUGCUUGGGUCUAUAAAGAGGUGGUCAAAGGAAUUUGAGGACCCCUAUAUAACGAAGACUCUCUAUAUCUCGCUUGUUCGUCCGAUUUUAGAAUACGGCUCAUGUGUAUGGUGCCCUCAGUACAACAUACAUCAGGACCGUAUUGAAUCAGUACAGAAACACUUUUUAUUAUUGGCCCUACGGGGCCUCAACUGGGAUGCAACUGUGAGACUGCCAUCCUACCGUAGUAGACUUCUUUUAAUAAAUCUUCCAUCCUUAGUUAGUCGUAGAAAAAUGCUUGGUGUAAUUUUUAUGCACAACUUGAUCAAGGGGGAUGUAGACAGCCCUGACUUGCUGAGCCGCAUAAACUUUACGAUUCCCAUUAGACUCACUAGAAACUUUAUUCCUUUGUUCCUUCCACUAUGUAGAUCGAAUUAUGCCUCACACGAACCCUUUAGGGUUUUAUGUUCGGAUUAUAAUUCCCUCUACCACAUUAUAUCCUCAACUAACUCCCUUCCUCUUCUUAAAUCUCUUAUACUAGCCUACCUCUCCCGUAGUUAGUUUCAUUUUAGUUUUGUCUUGUUUUUGAUUUUGGUAAUUUUUGCUUGUUUAGCUAUAGCUUAGCUUAGUCUAGUUAUGAUUAGCUUUAAUUUUCCUCGAAUAUUAGCCUAACAUCUAUCUUUCCUGCAUGCUCGCGACCGGUUCGGUUAAUCGCGCCGCGCGUCAUGCGGCAGCCUCGGUCGGUUGGGCGGGAGGAGGGCUGCGUUCUGCUGGGUUCCGCGCGUAACAGGCUUUGGCUUGGUGUCGCAUGGGCCACUUGAUGGUGCAGUCAUUGCAUAUCAACGUCCAGAAGAAUUAAACUACCCCACAAAAGAAAGGGAGUUGUUAUCAAUUGUAUGAGCUAUAGGGAAGUUACAAAAUUACUUAUACGGUACCUUACUUACUUCCUUGUAAGAAUCUUUACCGAUCACCGGCCCUUAACAUUUGCUGUGUCCGAUAGGAACACAAAUGCCAAAAUCAAAAGGUGGAAAGCCUUCAUAGAGGAACAUAACGCUGAGGUGUUCUAUAAACCGGGUAAGGAAAACUUCGUGGCCGACGCCCUGUCCCGACAAAACAUAAUUACCCUAGAAGAAGAGCCUCAGUCUGAUGCUGCC